GCCUUUAUGGCCAAGUUGGUAAGGCACCUCACUAGUAAUGAGGAGAUCGUCAGUUCGAAUCUGGCUGAAGGCAUCA
rnacentral:tRNA from 6 species